AAAGGAAGGAGAGCCAAGCACGAAAUACGGUACCGCAGAAAACAAUUUUUGGGCGAAAGAUAAGGAGGAGAGAAUAAAUGUCCUGGGCAGACCAGAAGAAUAGGAAGAAUGAAAAGAUCUCAAAAUGUUGAGAAUUUCUUCCUUAAGAAGGCUAAAAUACAACCAGAAGCAGAGAGCAAUGUCAGGGAAAGGUGGACUGAGCAGCAGUCAUCAUUGUCACCUGUGAGUUCUACAAAUGAAGGACAAGCAUGUUUCAGCAAAAUGGCUUCCUUGGGUCGGUGUAUGAUCCAUCCACCCAUCUAUAGCAUAUUCAGGCUCUGGACUCCUGCAAUCUAAGGAAAAAAAUUCCUAUUUAUGAGCGAGAUACCAGACACCCCUCAGUGGUAAAUUUAUUUCUGCUGCUUGUAUCUGCACUCCCAAUAUUUUAGUCACUAUUUAAAUUUCAUGGGCCUUGUGAGGAAGGGAAGAGAUGAAUCACUAAAUGGACAGCUGUUCCUUCACUCUUAGCACUCUCUUUUUAACAAACAAGAUUAGUACAGAAUUUGCAGACCCUGGACCAAUCCAUUUGUCAGUCUGUUGUUCCAUUUAUUCCUUACUUAUGAACGAGACCCUGAGAUACACUAAAUUGCCAAAAGCUCGUCUGACUUCACACUUAUAUGAACUUGAGUGACGUCCCAUUCUUAACCCAUAGGGUUUAAAAUGUUGGCCUACCAUUUGCAGCUAUAACAGCUUCAACUUUUCAGGAAAGUGUUCCCACAAAGUUUAGGAGUGUGUUUAUGGGAACUUUUGACCAUUCUUCUCGUAAUGCAUUUGUGAGGUCAGACACUGAUGUUGGACAAGAAAAUCUGGCUUGCAGUCUCCACUGUCCUUCCUCAGGAGGCUGAGGUCUUUUAACAUCUGCAGGAAGCUCCUGAGGAUGUUUCACCAGUCGGUGGUUGCUGGAGUACUUUUCUAUGCUGUGGUGUGCUGGGGGAGCAGCACAGCAAAGAAGGACUCAUCCAGGCUGGAAAAACUGAUCAGGAAGGCUGGCUCUGUGGUCGGCAUGAAGCUGGACACUCUGGUGUCAGUGGCAGAGAAAAGGACACUAAAAAAACUGCUGGACAUUAUGGACAAUGCUGGGCAUCCUCUGCACACGGCCAUAAACAACCAGAGGAGUCUGUUCAGUGACAGGUUGCUUCUCCCAAAGACAAGAACCAACAGACUUAAAAACUCCUUUGUCCCACACGCCAUCAGACUGUUUAACUCCUCUCUGGAGGGGAGAGGGAGGGGGGACAGGAGGACAAAGGAGGGGGGAACAACUAAGCUGUAGUGCCUCUUCACUCCACUGUGCAAUACUUUUUGUGCAAUACUUUCUGUUAAUAGUCAACGGUGCAAUAGACUUCAAUACUUGAAAUGUGCAAUUCCCUUGUAUUCUCAUUCCUAUUUAUUCUAUUUAUCCCUCUCGUAUAUUUUAUUUAUAUAUGUCUCUGUAUUUAUAUAUGUGUAUAUAUAUAUAUAUAUAUAAUAUUCUGCUCACGUUCUGUAACUUCUGUCGGUGCUGUGCUUUUGGAAACCGAAUUUCCCAGAGGAACCCACCCGAGGGAUUAAUAAAGUUUUAUC
ensembl:lncRNA